rnacentral:lncRNA from 1 species
CUCUGCACUUCUAUAUUCUUACCACCCUGCUCCUUUACCCUUUAAUCUGUAAUCCCAUGUUACCCCCCCCUUUUUUCCAUACCUAAUUUACUUACUCUGUCAUUCUCAACUUCUCCUCCCUUCUCUCUCCUCCUCCCCGCCUCCUCUCAGAGCUGCAGUUCCUAGUUGAGCACCAUCUGUACCGGCAGCAGCAGGGAGCCGGUGACGAGUGCUCCUCAGAGAGCUGCCUGUCUGACCGGCCAAGCCCAGACUCUGUACCCCCCGGAGAGGAGCUCCCACACGACGAUGAGGCCACUGCAGAGGCCUUUGAGAAACUGCGCUGCCAAAUGGAAGAGUUCUCUAGGGAGAGUCUAUUAGAGGCUGCAGGUGGACUCGAGUGCCCCCAGUCCAAGGAGAAGAAGGAGGAUUGUUCCAGUGUUGCAAAUGUAGCAGAUCCCUCAUCGCAACAGAACAACACACAAGCAGACACAAAAGCUGGAGCGUCCAGCGCAAGUCAGCCGGCGGAGGAGAAGAAGACAAAGAAAAGCAGCCUGAAGAAAGAGAACUAGAGCAGUCAGCCGUUCUGCACAAUGCUGCUCAGUCUGCUCAGUCAGCCCAACACAAUGACAGAAGAUUGUGUCUGCAGAUUCACUUUUUAGAAACAUCAGGGCAUCUAUAUUCCUCUACAGUCAGGCCUUAGUUACCACCUCGAGAACAAGAACAAAGGUUUCUACAUUUAUUUUGUGUUGUGUAAAGGGACACAUUUCAUUAUAUUGGUUUUCUUAAAGCCUCCCUUGAACUAAAACUAGCCUACUGUAUGUAUGAACCUGGGAGUUAAUAUCUAAUCUUAACGGAGUCUUUUUUUUCAUGAUCAUAAACCACCACAGGCUUAACGUCCCCUUCAGUGUGCACAUGCAAAUAUACCACUUUACAAUCCUUUCAGUCCAUGAACAUGUGCCAUGACUUCAGCAAUUAUUGUUCCAUCUCAAAGCAAUAAAACUGCAUCUGUACCUCA